CGGCCCCGACGCCGUUCCCGGCGCGAGGACGCGGAAACGGCUGCGGCCGCGGGAGCGGCGGCAGGCAGCGGCGCGGACGCCUCUCUCGGCCGGGGUCCUGCCGGCUCUCAGUCGCUCGGGGCCGAGGAGCCGCUGCUGGUGAAGGGGCCCGGGCCAGGCCGGGGCUCCUGUGCUGUGAGCCGCUUCCCCCGCCCUUUCCAGGCAGCACCGUGCGCAUGGAGAGACCUUUGGAUGCGUGCGGGGAUGGAAGAGGCGUUCUCGAACUCGGGCGCAGGAUUUUCAGCUGUGGGGAAGCUGCAGAGAAGGCUGCCCGGCACAGCCCCCCAGAAUGGGCCUCCCCCGACUGGGCUCCCGCAGAGGAUGGGGCAGUUGCAGCCCCCUGUCAUUCCUGUGAACUUCGGUGGAGGAAGCUCCUUCUCCGUGCAGGAAGCAGCACAGGGGAGUGGCCGAGGAGGCCAGGCUGGGACAGGGCCCCAACAGGAGCAGCCCUGGGCACAGUGACACGGGAGGAGGAGCCCAGGUGAGGAGCGCGGCACCAAGAGAGGCUGACACGGGACAGUGAGCCCAGAGACAGAGGAGAUGCUGCUGCACCACGUCCCCAGGAGAGCCCCUGCCUCCUUCUGCUCUCAGGGAUGGGACUGGGAGACGCCUCCACGCCGAGAGUGGCACUUGGCAUGGCUUCAGUCCCCAGUGGAAGAGGCUGGGCUCCCCGCUGCCCAGAGCUCCUGGGUAGGGACACCCACGCCUGCGCCUGGCUCAGAGUCCAGGGUGCACUCAGUCCGGAUCCAGCCUCGAGAUGUUCCUGCUGCAGCUGCAGGUGUUUCCCAGUCCAGCUUGCUGAACCUCCAGCUCUGACUGUUCUUCCUUCCAGCUCUGGCUCUGAGAUGCUGCACUUGAUGGCUGCUCCAGUUCCUUCCAGCUCUGGCUAAACAAUCUGUGUCUCUUGUGUAGUCUGUGUCUAUGUUCUGUCUUUUGUGUCCAUCUGUUACCUUGGUCACAUCCAGAUGCUUUAUCAGCAUCAUUCCAAGCCAUGGGAGCUGGACUCUACUCACGACAGGUCCCGACAGGGUUCACCUGCUGCUCGGUUGGUUUUUUCAAGCACCACUACAAGGAGAUGCUGGAGAGCACCAAGACCCCCAGGGACCCCAUAGGGAGCCCCAGGACAGAGAGGGAGUAGCCCAAAAAUUUUGGGCACCCCCCACUCCCCAAAUCAUUAAAUUCCAACAGAACCUUC